GUGAGGAAUUUUCCGCAAUGGGCGAAAGCCUGACGGAGCAAUGCCGCGUGAAGGAUGAAGGCCUAUGGGUUGUAAACUUCUUUUCUCAGAAAAGAAUUAUGACGGUAUCUGAGGAAUAAGCAUCGGCUAACUCUGUGCCAGCAGCCGCGGUAAGACAGAGGAUGCAAGCGUUAUCCGGAAUGAUUGGGCGUAAAGCGUCUGUAGGUUGUUUAAAAAGUAUUCUGUCAAAGAUUAGGGCUUAACCCUAGAUAGGCAGAAUAAACUUUUAAGCUAGAGUUUGGUAGAGGCAGGGGGAAUUCCCGGUGGGGCGGUGAAAUGCGUAGAUAUCGGGAGGAACACCAAAGGCGAAGGCACUCUGCUGGGCCAAUACUAACACUGAGAGACGAAAGCGAGGGGAGCAAAUGGGAUUAGAAACCCGUGUAGUCC
rnacentral:rRNA from 1 species